rnacentral:rRNA from 1 species
GACGAACGCUGGCGGCGUGCUUAACACAUGCAAGUCGAACGGAAAGGCCCUGCUUUUGUGGGGUGCUCGAGUGGCGAACGGGUGAGUAACACGUGAGUAACCUGCCCUUGACUUUGGGAUAACUUCAGGAAACUGGGGCUAAUACCGGAUAGGAGCUCCUGCUGCAUGGUGGGGGUUGGAAAGUUUCGGCGGUUGGGGAUGGACUCGCGGCUUAUCAGCUUGUUGGUGGGGUAGUGGCUUACCAAGGCUUUGACGGGUAGCCGGCCUGAGAGGGUGACCGGCCACAUUGGGACUGAGGGACGGCCCAGACUCCUACGGGAGGCAGCAGUGGGGAAUAUUGCAGAAUGGGCGGAAGCCUGAUGCAGCAACGCCGCGUGCGGGAUGACGGCCUUCGGGUUGUAAACCGCUUUCGCCUGUGACGAAGCGGGAGUGACGGUAAUGGGUAAAGAAGCACCGGCUAACUACGUG